UGGCUCAGAGGAUAAAGCGUCUGCCUGCAAUGCAGGAGACUCAGGUUCAAUCCCUGG
rnacentral:tRNA from 1 species